GAGCGCAGGCGGUUUCUUAAGUCAGAUGUGAAAGCCCCCGGCUCAACCGGGGAGGGUCAUUGGAAACUGGGAAGCUUGAGUGCAGAGUAGGAAAGUGGAAUUCCAUGUGUAGCGGUGAAAUGCGUAAAUAUAUGGAGGAACACCAGUGGCGAAGGCGGCUCUCUGGUCUGUAACUGACGCUGAGGCUCGAAAGCGUGGGGAGCAAACAGGAUUAAAUACCCUGGUAGUCCACGCCGUAAACGAUGAGUGCUAAGUGUUGGAGGGUUUCCGCCCUUCAUUGCUGCAGCUAACGCAUUAAGCACUCCGCCGGGGGAGUACGACCGCAGGGUUGAAACUCAAAGGAAUUGACGGGGGCCCGCACAAGCGGGGGAGCAUGUGGUUUAUUUCAAAGCAACGCAAAAAACCUUACCAGGUCUUGACAUCCUUUGACCACUCUAAAAAUAGAGCUUCCCCUUCGGGGGCAAAGUGACAGGUGGUGCAUGGUUGUCGUCAGCUCGUGUCGUGAGAUGUUGGGUUAAGUCCCGCAACGAGCGCAACCCUUAUUGUUAUUUGCCAUCAUUUAGUUGGGCACUCUAGCGAGACUGCCGGUGACAAACCGGAGGAAGGUGGGGAUGACGUCAAAUCAUCAUGCCCCUUAUGACCUGGGCUACACACGUGCUACAAUGGGAAGUACAACGAGUCGCGAAGUCGCGAGGCUAAGCUAAUCUCUUAAAGCUUCUCUCAGUUCGGAUUGUAGGCUGCAACUCGCCUACAUGAAGCCGGAAUCGCUAGUAAUCGCAGAUCAGCACGCCGCGGUGAAUACGUUCCCGGGCCUUGUACACCCCCCCCUCACACCACGAGAUUUGUAACACCCGAAUCGUGAGGUAACCUUUUGAGCCAGCCGCCUAAUGUGGGAUAGAUGAUUGGGGUGAAGUCUACCAGGU
rnacentral:rRNA from 1 species